UAAUACGGAGGGGGCGAGCGUUAUUCGGAAUUAUUGGGCGUAAAGGGCAGGUAGGCGGCCUCAUAUGUCCUUUGUGAAAGCCCUCGGCUCAACCGAGGAACUGCAGGGGAAACUGUGGGGCUUGAGUCCGGGAGAGGGUAGCGGAAUUCCCAGUGUAGCGGUGAAAUGCGUAGAUAUUGGGAGGAACACCAGUGGCGAAGGCGGCUACCUGGACCGGAACUGACGCUAAGCUGCGAAAGCUAGGGGAGCAAACGGGAUUAGAUACCCCGGUAGUCCUAGCUGUAAACGAUGAGCACUUGGUGUGGCGGGUAUCGACCCCCGCUGUGCCGAAGCUAACGCAUUAAGUGCUCCGCCUGGGGAGUACGGUCGCAAGGCUG
rnacentral:rRNA from 1 species